GAUGAACGCUGGCGGCGUGCCUAAUACAUGCAAGUCGAGCGAACGGACGAGAAGCUUGCUUCUCUGAUGUUAGCGGCGGACGGGUGAGUAACACGUGGAUAACCUACCUAUAAGACUGGGAUAACUUCGGGAAACCGGAGCUAAUACCGGAUAAUAUUUUGAACCGCAUGGUUCAAAAGUGAAAGACGGUCUUGCUGUCACUUAUAGAUGGAUCCGCGCUGCAUUAGCUAGUUGGUAAGGUAACGGCUUACCAAGGCAACGAUGCAUAGCCGACCUGAGAGGGUGAUCGGCCACACUGGAACUGAGACACGGUCCAGACUCCUACGGGAGGCAGCAGUAGGGAAUCUUCCGCAAUGGGCGAAAGCCUGACGGAGCAACGCCGCGGGAGUGAUGAAGGUCUUCGGAUCGUAAAACUCUGUUAUUAGGGAAGAACGUAUGUGUAAGUAACUGUGCACAUCUGGACGGUACCUAAGCAGAAAGCCACGGCUAACUACGU
rnacentral:rRNA from 1 species